AUUGAACGCUGGCGGCAUGCUUUACACAUGCAAGUCGAACGGCAGCACGGGGGCAACCCUGGUGGCGAGUGGCGAACGGGUGAGUAAUACAUCUGAACGUGCCCGGUCGUGGGGGAUAACGUAGCGAAAGUUACGCUAAUACCGCAUACGAUCUGAGGAUGAAAGCGGGGGACCUUCGGGCCUCGCGCGAUCGGAGCGGCCGAUGUCAGAUUAGGUAGUUGGUGGGGUAAAGGCCUACCAAGCCGACGAUCUGUAGCUGGUCUGAGAGGACGACCAGCCACACUGGGACUGAGACACGGCCCAGACUCCUACGGGAGGCAGCAGUGGGGAAUUUUGGACAAUGGGCGCAAGCCUGAUCCAGCCAUUCCGCGUGCAGGACGAAGGCCUUCGGGUUGUAAACUGCUUUUGUAUGGAACGAAAAGGCUCUGGCUAAUACCUGGGGCUCAUGACGGUACCGUAAGAAUAAGCACCGGCUAACUACGUG
rnacentral:rRNA from 1 species